AUUAGAUACCCGUGUAGUCCUAGCCGUAAACGAUACUCGCUAGGUGUCGGCCACGGUGCGACCGUUGUCGGUGCCGUAGGGAAGCCGUGAAGCGAGCCACCUGGGAAGUACGGCCGCAAGGCUGAAACUUAAAGGAAUUGGCGGGGGAGCACAACAACGGGUGGAGCUUGCGGUUUAAUUGGAUUCAACGCCGGAAAUCUUACCGGGACCGACAGCAACAUGAAGGCCAAGCUGAAGACUUUGCCGGAUUAGCUG
rnacentral:rRNA from 1 species